GGCCUCGUAGAUCAGUUGGCUAGAGCAUUGGCUGUACUAAAGCCUUCCGUUUGCUGUCGUGGGUUCGAAUCCCGCCGAGGCCA
rnacentral:tRNA from 1 species